rnacentral:rRNA from 1 species
AGUGAACGCUGGCGGUAGGCCUAACACAUGCAAGUCGAACGGCAGCACAGUAAGAGCUUGCUCUUACGGGUGGCGAGUGGCGGACGGGUGAGGAAUACAUCGGAAUCUACUUUUUCGUGGGGGAUAACGUAGGGAAACUUACGCUAAUACCGCAUACUACCUACGGGUGAAAGCAGGGGAUCUUCGGACCUUUCGCGAUUGAAUGAGCCGAUGUCGGAUUAGCUAGUUGGCGGGGUAAAGGCCCACCAAGGCGACGAUCCGUAGCUGGUCUGAGAGGAUGAUCAGCCACACUGGAACUGAGACACGGUCCAGACUCCUACGGGAGGCAGCAGUGGGGAAUAUUGGACAAUGGGCGCAAGCCUGAUCCAGCCAUACCGCGUGGGUGAAGAAGGCCUUCGGGUUGUAAAGCCCUUUUGUUGGGAAAGAAAAGCAGCAGGUUAAUACCCCGCUGUUCUGACGGUACCCAAAGAAUAAGCACCGGCUAACUUCGU